GAGUUUGAUCGUGGCUCAGAGUGAACGCUGGCGGCAGGCCUAACACAUGCAAGUCGAGCGGCAGCGCGGGGGCAACCCUGGCGGCGAGCGGCGGACGGGUGAGGAAUGCAUCGGAAUCUACCUCGUUGUGGGGGAUAACCUCGGGAAACCGGGACUAAUACCGCAUACGACCUACGGGUGAAAGUGGGGGACCGCAAGGCCUCACGCGAUGAGAUGAGCCGAUGCCGGAUUAGCUAGUUGGCGGGGUAAAGGCCCACCAAGGCGACGAUCCGUAGCUGGUCUGAGAGGAUGAUCAGCCACACUGGAACUGAGACACGGUCCAGACUCCUACGGGAGGCAGCAGUGGGGAAUAUUGGACAAUGGGCGCAAGCCUGAUCCAGCCAUGCCGCGUGUGUGAAGAAGGCCUUCGGUUGUUAAGCAC
rnacentral:rRNA from 1 species